rnacentral:rRNA from 1 species
GUGAACGCUGGUGGCGUGCUUAAUACAUGCAAGUCGAACGACCCCGCCUUUGGCGGGGAGUGGCAAACGGGUGAGUAACACGUGGGUAUCUACCCCUAAGUGAGGCAUAGCUCGUCGAAAGACGGAUUAAUACCUCAUGUUAUCUUCGGAUCAAAGUCGCAAGACGCUUAGGGAUGGGCCCUGCGUCCGAUCAGCUCGUUGGUGGGGUCACGGCCUACCAAGGCACUGAUCGGUAGCUGGUCUGAGAGGACGACCAGCCACACUGGGAACUGAGAUACGGUCCCAGACUCCUACGGGAGGCAGCAGUAGGGGAAUCUUGCACAAUGGGCGCAAGCCUGAUGCAGCGACGCCGCGUGGGGGACGACGGCCCUCGGGUUGUAAACCCCUUUCGGCAGGGAAGAAGCGCAAGUGACGGUACCUGCAGAAGAAGUCCCGGCUAACUACGUGCCAGCAGCCGCGGUAAGACGUAGGGGACGAGCGUUGUCCGGAUUCAUUGGGCGUAAAGCGCGCGUAGGCGGCUCGGUAAGUCGGUUGUGAAAUCCCGGGGCUCAACCCCGGGACUGCGUCCGAUACUGUCGAGCUAGAGGUAGGUAGGGGAGAUCGGAAUUCCUGGUGUAGCGGUGAAAUGCGCAGAUAUCAGGAGGAACACCGGUGGCGAAGGCGGAUCUCUGGGCCUUACCCGACGCUCAGGCGCGAAAGCUAGGGGAGCGAACAGGAUUAGAUACCCUGGUAGUCCUAGCCGUAAACGUUGGGUGCUAGGUGUGGGCGGAUAUCGACCCCGUCCGUGCCGAAGCUGACGCAUUAAGCACCCCGCCUGGGGAGUACGGCCGCAAGGCUAAAACUCAAAGGAAUUGACGGGGGCCCGCACAAGCGGCGGAGCAUGCGGCUUAAUUCGAUGCAACGCGAAGAACCUUACCUGGGUUUGACAUGCAGGGUGAAACCGUUGAAAGACGGCGCUCUUCGGAGCCUGCACAGGUGGUGCAUGGCUGUCGUCAGCUCGUGCCGUGAGGUGUUGCCUUAAGUGGCGCAACGAGCGCAACCCCUGUCCUUAGUUGCCAGCGGAUCAUGCCGGGAACUCUAGGGAGACUGCCGGUGCCAAACCGGAGGAAGGUGGGGAUGACGUCAAGUCAGCAUGCCCCUUAUACCCAGGGCUGCACGCAUGCUACAAUGCGCGGUACAGGGGGUUGCGAUCCCGUAAGGGGGAGCGAAUCCCAAAAAGCCGUGCUCAGUUCGGAUCGAGGUCUGCAACCCGACCUCGUGAAGCCGGAGUCGCUAGUAAUCGCAGAUCAGCAAUGCUGCGGUGAAUACGUUCCCGGGCCUUGUACACACCGCCCGUCACACCACGAAAGUGGGCAACACCCGAAGCCGGUGGCCUAACCCUCGUGGAGGGAGCCGUCGAAGGUGGGGCUCGCGAUUGGGGUG